rnacentral:rRNA from 1 species
UACGAAGGGGGCUAGCGUUGUUCGGAAUUACUGGGCGUAAAGCGCACGUAGGCGGCUUUGUAAGUUAGGGGUGAAAGCCUGGAGCUCAACUUCAGAAUUGCCCUUAAGACUGCAUCGCUUGAAUCCAGGAGAGGUGAGUGGAAUUCCGAGUGUAGAGGUGAAAUUCGUAGAUAUUCGGAAGAACACCAGUGGCGAAGGCGGCUCACUGGACUGGUAUUGACGCUGAGGUACGAAAGCGUGGGGAGCAAACAGG